UCAAAUCAUGAUUCAUAUUUAUUUUGAAUAAACAAAAUUAAGUCAUCUCAUAUUAAAUUGAAAACAUAAAGAUGAGAUGCAAACUUGUCUUUCGACACAAAAAACAAUAAUUAACAAUAAAGAGAAAGGGAAGAAAGAGUAGCCGAUGGGGGUUACCACGACCAAUUCAAAAUAAGGAGAGAAAACAGUUGAACUGCAAGGGGUUAUCUGAGACUACUCCUUGCGGCUUCCCAUGGUGACUUUAUUUCUCUUCUUUAUGCUAAAGCAUCUAAAUGCUCUCAAGUCAUACUUCCUAGUUGCUCUCAUUUUCCACAAGUGUAUGUUUUAUUUUGUGGCAAGUGUUUAGCAAGCCAUGAGAAAGGCAAGAACACUCAAAGGAAUUUUCUCUGAAGACUGAUGUGUGUUGAUGAAUGAGAUGAAGCAUCCUUUUAUAGCCUUCUAGCCUCCAAAGUCCCUUGCUAUUUUUAGCAAAGGAAUCCUUGAUUUUUACCCCCCUUUGGUGUCAUCCCUUGGUAUGUGGAUGGUGGGUGAGAUGUACUUGAUUG
rnacentral:lncRNA from 1 species